rnacentral:rRNA from 1 species
UACGGAGGGGGCUAGCGUUGUUCGGAAUUACUGGGCGUAAAGCGCACGUAGGCGGCUUUGUAAGUUAGAGGUGAAAGCCCGGGGCUCAACUCCGGAAUUGCCUUUAAGACUGCGAUCGCUAGAAUUGUGGAGAGGUAAGUGGAAUUCCCAGUGUAGAGGUGAAAUUCGUAGAUAUUGGGAAGAACACCGGUGGCGAAGGCGGCACCCUGGGCCAGUACUGACGCUGAGACGCGAAAGCGUGGGGAGCGAACGGA